UAAGUCUCAUUACUGAAUACUCUCACUUAGAGAAUAUCGAAAGCCAACACAAGCCCUAAUAUUUUCCAACCCCAAUCUCUCCGUCAAACCCAAUCUCUGGCGAGUCUCCUCCUCUGGCCACACCUUCAUCGAGCACGCUUCUACGUCUGUUGAGGUAAGCUCUAGCAGAGAAAUUUAUUUUCUUUCCUUUGUGUGUAAGCUUUAGAUGAGAAAUCCCAAGAGUAUUUUCAGAUUUCUUCAAGUUUAUUGCUUUUGGUUAUGCUUCUGAAUUAUUUUGCUGAAGGCAAAAUAACAUCUCUCAACACUAUAGUGUUUUCCCUAAGUUUGGGAAUUUGGUCAUAUUAAUAAUCAAGAGAUAAGCAACUGAAUGUUGAUAGUUGGUGGUUCAAACUGUCUGAUGGGCAAUGGACCUUCAACCUACUGGAAUGGGCUUUGAUUUGAACAGGAACUAAUUCCGCAUCCUUUAGAAACAGCUCUGCGAUGGGCAAUGGAAAUUGCUUCUAUCUUUUCUUCAGCAUGUCCUAUCUCAGAUUAUGAUGUUAUGUUAUUUCUGAAAACCUAGCUGCUUCUGAAUUAUUUUUGUCAUGCUAAGUGAAUCAAUUGUCCAGUAGAAUGUGCUGCCAAUGAUAAUUCCACCCAAUCCUUCACCGAAAGAAACAAGAAUAAAAAGGAAAAUAGGGAAGAAAAGAAAAGGUCAAUAGCUCACGGAUUAAAAAAAUAUAUAAAAAGAAAAGGACGAAGGUGCUUAAGCUAUGAUAUAUACACCUUUUUAUAUGACAAUUGUACAUCUCCUUAAGUAUGGAGACAUUAAUCAAUUUCUGAUGAAAAGUUAAGACAAACAGAUAUAUUUAUAUGAUUACUAGUGUAUGAAGAAAAUAAUGUUGAUAUGCAAAGAUAGCUUCCUUCUGCAUUCUUCCUCACCAAAGCUAGUCUUUUUUAUUUGAUAAUGCAUCGGUACUAAGCAAUUUUGAAUGUUAUGCUUAUAUAGGAUAAAAUAUGUUAUGAUACGUGAAAUAGCCAAAACCGAAAGCGACGGUCCCGUUUGUCACCAGAAAGAAUAACGCUCAUAAAGAUUCAAUAAAUACUCUUCGCCCAGUAGCAUUUAAUGGAGAAUAUUCCACAAUAUUAAGUACGUUGCCCGUUACAAGGAAUUUAUCAUUUAUGCUCACUGUUACAUCUUCAUCAAUGGCCCUCAUAAUUGACAUUAAAGAAGGGCACGAUCAUAAGACCUUCUUUCCUAGACGUAGCUAUAAAUAGUGAGAUUUGUUAUCAUUGAAAGGACACUGAUUUUUUGAAAAACUAAUACUAUAAUCUACUCAAAACUCUAAUCAAUUUUACCUUCUUAUUUUCUGUUUCUUGUUCUUAUUAUUAUUGCGCCCGGAGGUUUCACUAUCAGAGUCUUUAUUUUUGUUAUUUCGUCUUCCUAUCAAGGCUAAGUGUUAUAUAUUUCUUCAAUUAUCUUGUUAUUUCAGGAUUGAAUUAAUUUACUUGUCUAGAAACUACAUAUAAAUUCAACUGUACCAUUUUACGGGUAAAUAGUUUGGCGCCCACUGUGGGGCCUAGACAGCCGUGCAAUUAAGUUGAUCCUUUUCUUUUUUACUAACGUGCUUUGAUUAUUAUCUUAGAAAAAAUCAUAAGAAAUGACAGAUAACGGUGUUAACAACACGCACAAUCUCGAGGUUCGAGGGGAUCAACCUCAUUUCGAGGACUCAAUCAGUUACACGCACAACGAGGGGAAUGAUAGCACGCCGGUGCAUGAUCCUCGAUGUGUUCGGGAGUAAUUGACGCGGUAAGGGUCCUACAAGAAUAAUAUGCGAUCAUUCUAGGCCACUUCAUGCGACAGGAUAAGGUUAUGAUGGAGUUGAAGUAGGCGCUGUCGGGGGCUUCGAAUAAUGCGAAUAGACGAGAUCUGGUUCUUCCUGAUGCUCCCACGAAUGAAACCAUGCUGAGGGUUGACAACACCACCCCGAGGGGUGAAGUUGGCUCCGAUGGGGUCAAGGGGAUCGGAUCCGGCCUCAAUAAUAAAAAUGAUCCCUUCAAGAAUGAACUCUUACGAUUUAUGAGGAGCAUGGACCAAAUCUCGGGCACACCACCGGUGUUGAAAGGUCCGGACUCAAAGAAGUAUAUGUAAUUGCCAUACAAGCUAAGUGCGGCACCAGAAUUAAUCCCGAAGCUGUUUAAAAUGCCUGAUAUGCCAAAGUAUAACGAAACUUCAUACCCUCAAGAGCAUAUCACCACCUAUACAACGGUGGUGAAGUGAAAUGAUUUAGCUCCUCAUGAAAUUGAAUCUGUUUUGGUGAAGAAAUUUGGAGAGACUCUCAAGAGGAGCCUUGAUGUGGUAUUCAUUGUUACCCGAGCAUUCCAUAGACUCCUUUGAGAUGCUCGUGGACUCUUUCAUCAAGGCUCAUGCCGGGGCCAGAAAAGUACAGGCCCUAAAGGCCGACAUAUUCAGAAUUUUGCAAGGAGAGUCUAAGUUGCUACGAGAGUUCGUUACCCGAUUCCAGAAGGAGAGAAUGUUGUUCCCGGCUGUCCCAGAUGAAUGGGAGGCUAAAGCAUUCACGAAGGGACUGAAUCCGAGAAGUUCAGUCGCUUCCCAAAAUUUGAAGGAAAGCCUACUUGAGUUUCAAGCAACGACUUGGGCGGAUGUCCACAACCGGUACGAAUCAAAGAUAAGGAUCGCAGAUGAUCAGGUUGGCUUUCCAUUGUAGACAAAAGGACGGGAGAAGUACAGAGAAAAAUCAAAAGACGAUCUUGACAUGGACAUACAGUCUUCGAUGGGGCGAUUUUUGCCAUACGAACGGACCGAAGACAGCGGCAGAAGCUUCUGGUCAGUGGACAUGUUUACCACCGACAGAAGAAUUGAUCUUGGUCAGAACAAUAGACCAUUGCGGGAUAAAGAAGUGUCGGGGGCGCGAGAUCCUUCUUACACCAAGUUGCUUGAAUACAAUUUUAAUGUUAGUGUAGUAGAGUUGGUGUCAGCCAUGAGAAACAUCAAAGAAGCAUGGUUUCCGAAACCAAUAAGAUCUGAUCCCAGCCAGAGGGAUCCCAACUUGUGGUGUGAAUACCAUGGGACAAAUGGCCACCGGACAUGGGACUACCGACACCUCCGAAAAGAAGUGGUAAAAAUAUUGAAGAAUGGUCAUCUCGGAGAAUUAUUGAGUGACUGAGCUAAGAACAAUUAUGGUUGUAACCGGGACAAAGCAGAAAACUCGAAAGCAUGAGAAGAUCCCCGCGCCAAACGAUCAACAUGAUCUUCGGGGGGGACGAGAUCAACGGGGUCACCUUUUCGGUAGCAAAAAAGACAAAAGUAUCAAUUACUCAUAGCAAAAGGCUUCGGGAAGUCAUCGAAGACAAUAUUACUUUCACGGAGGAGAACGGAGACAGAUUGCUACUACCGCACAACGACGCACUGAUAGUUUCUUUAAAUCUGCUAGAUUUUAAGAUUAAACGUGUUCUAGUGGAUCCAGGAAGUUCGGCCAAUAUCAUACAAUGGAGAGUAUUGGAGCAAGCUAAAUUCACUGGAAGCAUCAUUCCAGCCACAAAGAUCUUCGCCGGAUUCAACCUCGCGAGCGUGACAACCCGAUGAGAGAUUUUGUUACCCACAAACGCCGAAGGAGUAACAAAAACAACUCUUUUCGGAGUGGUAUAUGGUGAUAUGGGAUAUAACAUUAUCCGUGGAAAGUCGUGGUUGCACGAGAUGAAAGUUGUACCAUCAACAUAUUAUCAAUUGCUGAAGUUUCCAACGCCCGAAGGAGUUAACGGAUAAAGGUGACCAACCGGCAGCAAUGGAGAUGAAUGCAAUUCCAAUCUCCAGUAUAAAAGGAAAGGAACACACGGCAUAGCAAUUACAGGAACCGAUGCCCUAUCCCGAACUAGAUGAAGUUAGUUCGGGGGCAAAAAUGUCAGAAUUUUAUCAGGUGCCGAGAUAUUUCCAGGUUCCAGAAGUGACGGAUGCAACAUAACCCACAGUAGAAAAACUUGAGCAAGUUGCAUUGUUCGAAGAGUUCUUAGAAAGAAAAUUCCACUUGGGGACAGGACUGCACCCCAAGCUCAGGUCUGGAUUUAUUAAAUUUCUUAAAUCUAAUACCGAUUGUUUUGCAUGGUCGCAUACAGAUAUGAAAGGUAUCCUGACGGAGGUAGCCAUGCACAAGUUAAGUAUGGAUCCCAACGUACCUCCGGUAAGACAAAAGAAAUGCCAUAUUGCCGAAGCCAUGAAUAAAUUCGUCAAGGAAAAGGUAAUUCGCUUACUUAAUAUCGGUUCGAUCCGAUAGGUAAAGUAUCCAGACUGGCUUGCUAAUAUAGUAGUAGUUCCUAAGAAGAACAAUAAAUUUCACAUGUGUGUAGAUUAUAAAGAUUUGAAUAAGGCGUGCCCAAAAGACUCGUUCCUAUUGCCAAACAUCGCUCAAAUGAUUGAUGCUACGGCCGGGCACGAGUUAAUGAGUUUCCUCGAUGCUUAUUCCGAGUAUAAUAAAAUUAAGAUAAACGCAGAGGAUCAGGAAAAGACUUCGUUUAUUAUGAAUUUCAGUACAGAUUGCUAUAAUGUGAUGCCCUUCGGGUUGAAAAACGCCUGAGCCACAUAUCAACGGCUCGUGAAUAAGAUGUUUGAAAAGAAAAAAGGAAAAACUAUGGAAUUUUAUAUAGACGAUAUGUUCGUUAAGUCUUUAAAUGCAGGUGAUCGCCUUAAGUAUUUGCAAGAAACUUUUGACAUCCUAAGGAAGCAUAAUUGAAACUUAACCCCAAGAAAUACGCGUUCGGGGUCAGCCCUGGCAAGUUUCCAGGAUUUUUGGUAUCACAAAGGGGAACUGAGGUAAACCCGGAUAAGAUCAAGGCCAUUGAAUACAUCCCGGACCAACUGUCAAGCGUGAAGGAAGUCUAAAGGCUCACGGGGAGAUUGACAGCUUUGAGCAGGUUCAUUUUCCGGUCAUCAGAAAAAUGUUACCGUUUCUUCGCACUGCCAAAAAAGAAAAAUAAUUUCGAAUGGACCCCGGAGUGCCAGCAGGCUUUGAGAGAUUUGAAAAAGUACUUGUCAAGCUCUUCGUUGCUUUCGAAAUCAAAAGAAGGUGAAACGUUGUUAGUCUACUUCGCGGUCUUGGAAGUCACAGUAAAUGCAGUUUUAGUCCGUGAGGACAAAUGUACACAAUUUCCUAUUUAUUACGUUAGUAAUAUUUUAACGGGAGCAGAAACUCGAUACCCCCAUUUGGAGAAACUGGCCUUAACUCUCGUAGUCGCCGUUCGGAAGCUGAUGCCCUACUUGCAAUGUCACCUGAUAGUCGUGGUGACCACUUUCCCUUUGCAGAACAUCCUUUACAAACUCGAGCUCGUGGGUAGAUUGGUCAAAUGGGCCGUCGAAAUGAGUGAGUUCGACAUAUAAUAUAAACCAAGGGUUGCAAUUCAGUCACAAGUCUUGGAUGACUUUGUGGCCGAUUUCAGUUCGAGAUUACUGCCUCUGGCAACCAAAGAGGCAGUAAUGGUGUCGGAAUCGACAUCGAGGGUUUGGACCUUAUUUACGGACAGAGCCUCCAACGUGAAAGGGUCCGGUCUUGGUAUAGUAGUAAUCACGCCUUCGGGGGAAAUCCUAAGGCGAGCCAUUAGAAUGGUCCCUUUAAAUAAUAAUGAAGUAGAGUAUAAGGCUUUUAUUGCAGGGCUCGAACUGGCCUGGGGACUUGAUUCUGAGGUCAUCAAAAUCAAAUGCGACUCACAGCUAGUGGUAAAUCAGGUCUACGGGAUCUUCGAAACCAAAGAGGUGUGCAUGCAACAAUAUGUGGUAAAAGUCCAGGCUCUAUUGGCGCGAUUUCAGGAGUGGUCGAUUACUCAUAUCCCGAGGGAAGAUAAUGCAGAAUCUCAUUAGAUAACCUUGGAUCAUUGAUAGAAAUAAAAGGAUCGGAGUCUGGGGCGGUAGUACAACUGAUGAACUCGGUCUUGGAUACAAAUAAAUAUUGUGAGGUAAAUACGACUAAAUUGGUCUGGGACUGGAGGAAUGAAAUCAUCGAUUAUCUCGAGCAUGGAAAGUUGCCUGAAGACUCUAAAGCGUCCCAGGCGCUGCGCGCCAAAGCAGUGCGAUAUAGCUUCAAGAGAGGCCAAUUAUAUAGAAAAUCUUUCCAAGGCCCGCUGGCCCGAUGCUUGGGGGCAUCCGAACUAACUAUGUUAUGCGAGAAGUCCACGAAGGGAUAUGCGGUAAUCAUUCAGGCGCAGAUUCCUUAGUGCUGCAAUUGGUAAGGGAAUGAUAUUAUAGGCCCUGUAUGGAAUAGGAUGCCAAAGACUUCGUACGAAAGUGUGAUAAGUGCCAACGCUACGCACCAUUGGUACAUCAACCGGCAGAACUGUUGCAUUCGGUUCUGUCCCUGUGGCCGUUCAUGAAAUGAGGGAUGGGCAUCGUCGGACCAUUGCCGCCGAUCCCCGAAAAGGUAAGAUUUCUUUUGAUUUUGACUGACUAUUUUUCUAAGUGGGUGGAACCAGGUCCUUAUCAGAAUAUCGACGACCGCGAAGUGGUGGAUUUCUUGUGAAAAAAUAUAAUUUGCAGGUUCGAUAUACCAAAAGAUAUAGCAUGCGAUAAUGGGCCACAAUUUAUCGGUGCGAAAGUCCCAAAGUCCCUCGAAGAUUUAAAAAUAAAGAGGAUCACAUAUUCACCCUUGGGAUUAAGUGUCCCAUUUUACUCUGAAACAUCCCCGGAACCAAAUUUAUUUGACCAAAUUUUGACUUAUGUGAAAAAGACCCCGAAACCGUAUUUUUAUGGCUCUGAUAGCUUCGAAUCGUGAUUUCGGACUUGGGCAUAUGACCAAAAUUGAUUUCGGAAGUCCGUAGGUUUAUUUGUGUUGAUUUGCCAAAAUUUGGUAAUUUGAGGUUGAAAAGUUUAACCGUAAGUUUGAAUUUUAGAUAUCGAGCUAGGAAUUUAAUUUUGGUACUUGGAAUAGGUCAGUUAUGCUAUUUAGAAAUUGUCUACAAAAUUUGGUUCCAAGGGCUGGAAAAUGGGAUUUUUGAAAACAUUCCCUCAAUUUUAACACUAGAGUCGGUAUGAGACGAUUUGGAAAGGGGAUUUUCAUCUACAAACUUUGGGUAAGUGAUUCUAAUCUAUUUACAACUAUAUUUCAUGACAAUAUCAUAGAUUUAACAUCAAAUUUAUGUGAUUCAAAGGGGGAAAAUUGGGAAAUUUUAUCAAGUUUUUAAAAAAUGAGAAAUUGAGUUUUGAGAGUUGUGUUGAACUCGGGUUUUGAAAUUGUACACACACACACACACACAUAAUUCUUCCAAUAGUCAGGUCCAAGGGUAGAUUCCUACUACCCAUAACCCCACGAAUCCAUAUAUGUGAUUAGUUUCAAAAUCCGAGUCCAACUCGACUCUCAGAACUCAAUUUCUCAUUUUUCAUAAACUUGAAAGAUUUUUCCAAUUUUUCCUCUUUGAUUCACAUAAAUUUGAUGUUAAAUCUACUAUAUAUUCAUGAAAUAUAGUUGAAAAUUGAUUAGGAUCACUUACCCAAUGUUUAUAGAUGAAAAUCCCCUCUCCAAAUCGCCUCCUACCGAGUCUAAGGUUCAAAAUCUCGACUUUUCUAACCUUUUGUUCAGUUGCAGUUAUUACAAUUGCGACAUGGGUUCGCAAUUGCGAAGAAAUCCUCACAAAUACAGCCACUGACAACCUAAGAGGAGGUCGCAAAUGCGACAUUGGCUUCGCAUUUGCGAAGCCUAUCCUCAUCGCAAAUGUGACUCUUUUGUCGCAAAUGUGAACUACCUGACCUCCUAUAACUAUUCGCAAUUAUGACCUAGGUAUCACAAUUACAACACCUGAGGCCCCCUGCUAAGGUCGUAAUUGGGACCUUGGUGUUCGCAAAUGCGACACUAGAGGCAUCAGCACACAAGAUUCUAUUUUUCAGUCCAAAACAUUCUAAAACAUGUCCGAAACUAAUCCGAGCCCUCGAGGCUCCAAACCAAACAUCCACACAAGUAUAAAAAUAUCAUACAAACUCAUUUGCGCAAUCAAAACACAAACAUAAUAUCUAGAACUACGAAUCUAACACCAAAAUGCAUGAAUUUCAAGUAAAGUUCAAGAACUUCUAGAAUUGCAACUAAGCGUACGAAUCCCAUCAAAUCAACUCCAAAGGAUACCAAAUUUUGCAUAAAAGUUCAAAAUGGCAUAACAGACCUGUUACACAUCCCAAAAUCAAAUUCCGAACUCGAUAGGCAAAAGUCAAUCAACGGUCAAACUUCUAAGCCUUAAAUUGCCAAUUUUCCAUAAAACAGCACAAAUCAAUCCACGGACUUCCGAAUUCGAUUCCGGACAUACGCUCAAGACCAAAAUCACGAUACGAUGUUAUCAGAGCCAUCAAAAUACUUUUCGGGGUCAUUUUCACAAAAGUCAAUCAUUUGUCAACAUAAAUAACUUAGGCUUCUAAGCCAAGCAUCAAAGGGUCCAAUUCAACUUGAAAUCUUCCCAGAAUGAAACCAAUCAACCCUUUAAGUCAUUAAACUAUAAACACACAUGUGUGAAGCAUCAAAAGGGAAAACGGGACACAAAACGACCAGUUGAGUCGUUACAUUCUUUUCGCAAAUGUGACUCUUUCGUCGCAAAUGCGAACUACCCUCUUGUAACUAUUCGCAAUUGCGACCCAGGUAUAGAAAUUGCGACACCUGAGGCCCCCUUACUAAGGUCGCAAUUGCGACCCUAGUGUUUUCAAAUGCGACACCAUAGGCACCAGCACACCAAAUUCUGUUUUUCAGUCCAAAACAUUCUGAAACAUGUCUUAAACUCAUCUGAAACCUUAGGGCUCCAAACCAAACAUCCACACAAGUCUAAAAAUAUCAUAUGAACUCGCUCGUGAUCAAAAUACAAAAAUAAUAUCUAGAACUACGAAUCGGACACCAAAACGCAUGAAUUUUGAAGUAAGUUCAAGAACUUCUAGAAUUGCAACUAAGCGUCUGAAUCCUUUCAAAUCAACUCCAAAUGAUACCAAAUUUUGCAGACAAGUUCUAAAUGUCAUAACGGACCUAUUACACAUCCCAAAAUUAAAUUCCUAACCCGAUAGCCAAAAGUCAACCUACGGUAAAGCAUCUAAGCCUUAAAUUGCCAAUUUUUGGUAAAACAAUCAAUCUACGGACUUCUGAAUUUGAUACAAAGAUAUCAGAGCCAUCAAAACACCGUUUUGAGGUUGUUUUCACAAAAUUUAACCAUUGGUCAACAUAAACAACUUAGGCUUUUAAGUCAAGAAUCAAAGGGACCAAUUCAACCCGAAAUCUUCCCGAAAUGAAACCAAUCAACCCCGUAAGUCAUAAAAUCAUAAACACACAUGUGUGAAGUAUCAAAAAGAAAAACGGGGCGUAAAUACAUAAAACGACCAGCCGGGUCAUUACAUUCUUCCCCUCUUAAAACAAACGUUCAUCCUCGAACAUGUAUAAAGACAUACCUUGAGGAGAUGAAAAGGUGAGGAUAACGACCCCGCAUAUCGUGCUCAGUCUCCCAGGUCGCCUCUUCGACCGGAUGACCCCUCCAUUGAACCUUCACCGAAGCAAUGUUAUUUGAUCUCAACUUCUGGACUUGUCUGUCUAAGAUAACCACUGCCUCCUCAAUAUAAGUCAAAUCAUUGUCCAAUUGGACUGAGCUGAAGUCUAAUACAUGGGAGGGAUCACCAUAAUACUUCCGGAGCAUAGAACUUAGAACAUCAGAUGAACUGCAGAUAAGCUAGGUGGCAAUGCAAGCUUGUAGGCCACCUCACCAACUCUCUCAAGGAUCUCAAAAGGACCGAUAUACCUAGGGCUCAACUUUCCCUUCUUUCCGAACCUCAUCACACCCUUCAUGGGGUGAAACCCAAAGCAAAACCCGCUCUUCCACCAUAAAUGCUACAUCACAAAACUUUCGAUCAGCAUAACUCUUCUGCCUUGACCGUGUUGUAUGAAGCCAAUCCUGCAUCAACUUGACUUUCUCCAAGGCAUCUCGAACAAAAUUUAUGCCCAACAAUCUAGCCUCACCGGGAGCAAACCAACCAACUGGAGAACGGCACAGUCUCCCAUAUAGGGCCUCAUGAGGAACAAUCUGAAUACUCGAUUGGUAGCUAUUGUUAUACGCGAACUCUAUAAGUGACAAACACUGAUCCCAAGAACCCCCAAAAUACAUAACACAGGCACGAAGCAUAUCAUCUAAAAUCUGAAUGGUGCGCUCGGACUAUUCAUUCGUCUGUGGAUAAAGUGUUGUACUCAACUCAACCUGUGUGCCUAACUCACAUUGUACGGCUCUCCAGAAGUGCAAUGUAAACUACGUGCCCCGGUCAGGGAUGAUGGAUGCCGGCAUGCCAUAAAGUUGAACAAUCUCGCGGAUAUAAAUCUGACCCGGCUGCUCUGAAAAAUAGGUAGUCACCACCGAAAUGAAAUGAGCCGACUUGGUCAACCUAUCCACAAUCACCCAUACAUCGUCAAAUUUCUUCAAAGUAUGUGGGAUCCCAACAACGAAGUCCAUGGUAACACACUCCCACUUCUACUCAGGAAUCUCAAGUCUCUAAAGCAACCGGCAUGGCCUCUAAUGCUCAUACUUCACCUGCUGACAAUUUAGGCACCAAGUCACAGACUCCACUAUAUCUUUAUUCAAUACCCUUCACCAAUAGUGUUGUCUCAAAUUCUGAUACUUCUUAGCGGCACCCGAGUGAAUGAAGUAUCGCGAGCUGUGGGCCUCCUGAAGGAUUAACUCCUGUAACUCAUCUACAUUAUGCACACAUAACUGACCCUGCAUUCGCAAAACACCGGCAUCUCCAAUAGAAAUCUCCUUGGUAUCGUUACGUUGUACCAUGUCCUUAAGGACAAGCAAAUGGGGGUCGUCAUACUGACGCUCUCUAAUGCGAUCAUACAAAGAAGACUGAGAAACCACACAAGCAAGAACUUGACUGGGCUCCAAAACAUCUAAUCUAACAAAUCGAUUAGCCAAGGCCUGAACAUCUAGAGCUAGCGGCCUCUCUACUGCCGGUAGAUAUGCUAAACUGCCCAUGCUCUCUACCUUUCAACUCAAGGCAUCGGCCACCACAUUGGCCUUCCAAGGAUGAUAUAGAAUAGUGAUAUCAUAGUCUUUAAGUAACUCUAACCACCUCUGCUGCUGCAAAUUAAGAUAUUCCUAUUUGAACAGAUGUUGUAGACUCCGGUGGUCAAUAUAGACCUCACAUAGGACACCGUACAGAUAAUACCUCCAAAUCUUCAAUGCAUGAACAAUAGUUACCAAUUCCAAGUCUUGCACCGGAUAAUUUUUCUCAUGAAUCUUCAGCUGUCGAGACGCGUGGGCAAUUACCCUACUAUCUUGCAUCAACACUGCACCAAGGCCAACACAUAAUGCAUCACAAUACACAGUGUAAGACCCCAAACCCGUAUGCAACACCAACACUAGGAUUGUAGUCAAAGCAGUAUUAAGCUUUUGAAAGCUCACCUCACACCCCUAGGACCAUCUGAAAGGAGCACCCUUCUGGGUCAAUCUGGUCAUAGGUGCAACAAUGUAUGAGAAACCCUCUACGAAACAAUGAUAAUACCCCGGGCAAACCAAGAAAACUCUGAAUCUCAGUAGCUGAAGAUAGUGUGGGCCAACUCUGAAUUGCCUCAAUAUUCUUUGGAUCUACUUUGAUCCCCUCACUCGACACCACAUGGCCCAAAAAUACCACUGAAUCAAGCAAUAAUUCACACUUUGAGAAUUUUGCAUACAACUUCUUUUCUCUCAAGGUCUGGAGCACAAUCCUCAAAUGAUGAUCAUGAUCUUCCUGACUGCGGGAGUACGCCAAGAUGUCAUCAAUAAAUAUAAUGAUGAAUGAAUCAAGAUAUGAAUGGAACACACUGUUUAUCAGAUGCAUAAAUGUUGCUGGGGUGUUGGUCAGCCCAAAAGAUAUCACAAGGAACUUAUAGUGACCAUACCGAGUCUUGAAGGCGGUCAUCGGGAUAUCCGAAUCCCGAAUCUUCAGCUGAUGAUACCCUGACCUCAAAUCUAUCUUUGAGAAUACCCUGGCACCUUGAAGUUGGUUAAAUAAGUCACCAAUGCAUGGUAAUUACAUGUUCUUCACUGUAACAUUGUUCAAUUGCCUAUAAUCAAUACACAUGCGCAUAGAACCAUCCUUCUUCUUCACAAACAAAAUCGGAGAACCCCAAGGCAACACAUUAGGCCGAAUGAAAACCUUAUCAAGCAACUCUUGCAACUGAUCCUUUAACUCUUUCAACUCCGAUGGGGCCAUACCAUAUGGUGGAAUAUAAAUAGGCUGAGUGUCCGGCAAUAAAUCAAUACCAAAAUCGAUAUCCCUAUCGGGCGACAUGCACGGAAGAUCUGUUGGAUAUACAUCUUGGAAGUUUCUCACCACCGAAAUUGACUUAACGGUAGGAGUAUCAACACUAACAUCUCUCACAAAGGCUAGAUAUGUAUCACACCCCUUCUCAACUAUCUGUUGUGCCUUAAGGAAGGACACAAGAACAUAAUCCAAUAUAAUCCACUCUAACAUCAGCUAACCUGGCAUAGCUAGUGUCAUAGUCUUGGUGUGGCAAUCCAUAAUAGCAUGAUAAGGUGACAAACAGUCCAUACCCAAGAUAACAUCAAAGUUUAUCAUACUGAGUAAUAAUAGAUCAACUUUGGUCUCAAAACCACCAAUAACAACUAAAGACAAUCGAUACACACGAUCCAUAAUAAUAGAAUCUCCCACAAGCAUGGACACAUAUACAGGAGAACUCAAAUAUUCACGAGAUAUAUCCAAAUAUGGAGUAAAGUAAGAUGAAACAUAUGAGUAAAUGGAUCCUGGAUCAAAUAAAACGGAUGCAUCUCUAUGACAAACGCGAACAAUACCUGUGAUAACUGUGUCUUAUGCGACCGCCUCCGUCCUGCCUGGAAAAGCAUAGAACCUAGCCUGACCUCCCCCUCUAGAGUGACUUCUACUCACCUGAUCCUCACACCUGGCUGGUUGUGCAGGUAGAGCGGCAGCUGGAGCGGCAACCAUGAGAUGUGAAGUCUGUAGACUAGGUGGAAUCCGUGGAACCUGAGUAGCCUAUAGAGGUGCACCCUUCCUGAGUCUGGGGUAGUCCCUCACCAUAUGAUGGGUAUCACCACACCCAAUACAAUCUCUUGGUGGGUGUGGUUGCUGAAACUGGGUUAGGCCUGGUCGGCUGGACUGACCGCUGAAGGCACCCCGUGCAGAAGGUGCACUAGAAAAUGGCUGAGCAAAGUGUGCAACCUGAGACCUCGGAGUAGCCGGAGCACCACUAGAAGCUGGAAAUGUUGAAUGAACUGGACGGCUCACACAACCUCUACCAUGAUGGGUUCUAACUGUAGUGUGGCCACCACUAAAUCAUCCAGUACCUCGAGGCCUUUUGGCAUCCCUAUCCUCUCUCUCAUAGCCCCGCAUACCCUCCAACCUCCGUGCGAUCUCUACCACUUACUGAUAUGGGUUAUCUGUCUCCAACUCUUGAGCCAUGCUGAAUCUAAUACCAUAGUUGAUCCCCUUGAUGAAUCAGCGGACUCACUCUCUGACUGUAGAAACCAAGGCAGGUGCAUGUCUGGACAACUCACUGAAUCUGACAGCAUACUCUGACACUGUCAUAGUACCUUGGCACAGCUGCUCAAACUCUAUGCGCCAUGCAUCAGGAAGGCUUUGGGAACAAACUUUCACAAGAACGUCUCUAAAAACUGAGUCCAUAUGAGUGAAGCUGCUUCAGUUGGGCUACCCUCCCCGCAAGCCUGUCACCACUGAUACACUACCCCUGCAGCUAGAAUGUAACACAAGCAACUCUGCUUGUCUCCAUAAUACCCAUGGUGCGGAAAAUACAGUGGCACUUCAUUAGAAAACUCUGCUAGGCUGCUGAAAGUAGGAGGGUGAUAUUUCUUGAACCUCUCAAGUCUAAAAUGCUCCUCCUCAGAUGCCACUGCCCUAACCUCUGGCUGAACUGGAAUAAUACGCUGUGCUAGCAAAACCUCUACUACCUGAUCAAAAUGGACCCUCUGCUCUAGAGUACGGGCCACGGGAGUCUGAUAUCCUCCCCCAGCCUGAGAUGUAGCUGGAUCAAGUGGAAUCAACUCCGUUUGAGAUAGAGUAUCGAACAUGCUCAAGAACUGUGCUAGGGUCUCCUGAAGUGUAGGGGUGACAACAUGCGCCUUGGGUGCCUAUCCCUCAACUGGCGUUACUGGUGGCUCAUCAAUAGCUGUUUGGGUAGGUGCUCUGGCUACACCACGUUCCCCUCUUCGGCCUCUGCCCCGGCCUCUCGCGGUUCUAGUAGGGGGCGUGGGUGUCUGAUCGUAGGAUCCAACGGUGCGUGUCCUCACCAUUUGUAAGUGAAUAGAAAGACAAAGAUUCGGAAUUUUGAAGUCAAAAAAUUCACACGAUAAGGAAUCAAAGAAGUGAAGUUUCCUAACAGUUCCGUAGCCUCUCGAAGAUAAGUACAAAUAUCUCUGUACCGAUCUAUAAGACUCUACUAAACCUGGUUAUGACUAGUAAUACCUAUGAACCUAGAGCUCUAAUACCAACUUGUCAUGACCCCAACACCCCACCGGAGGAUGUCGUGAUGGCACCUAGUCUCUAAGACUAGGUAAGCCUGACAUGCAUGGAGAAAUAGCGGAAAUAAUAACAGAAAUUCAAAUUUAAACCAUCUAGCUAUCAUAAUAGAACUCAACAAUACCGCUGAUAAUAACUCCCAAAAUCUGGUGAGAUUGAGUCAUAAGCUCUACACGAGUAUACUGUAAAAUUCUUAAUAUAUCACUAUCAAAAUAAAUAGUAAGCAGUAGAAAAACAAGGACAGAGGGUGACUCCGAGGCCUGCGAACGUUGGGCAGGUAUACCUUGAAGUCUCUGAACUGAAUGCUCUACUCACUGGUGCCUAGCCUAGGUCGAGGUACAUGGAUCUGCACAAAAAUGUGCAGAAGAAUAGUAUGAGUAUACCACAAUGGUACCCGAUCAGUAUCAAGCCUAACAUUAGUAGAGUAGUGACGAGGUCGGGACAAGACACAUACUAGGAUAAGAAAAAGAAACUGAACUAGUGUAGUCUAGUCUAAUAAUGAAAAUGGGGAAAUAGUGACAAUAAAGCAAUACAACAAGGUAAGCUACAACUUAAUUUUAAGCAAUAAAGGCAAUAACGAAGGAACACAUAAUAAGAACAUCAAGAAAACAAUGUGGACAAAUACAAGUGAGGAAAAUGAGAGAUAACAACAAGAAUCACAAUUGAGGUACCGCCUCGCAAUCUCAUUUCACCAUCACAGUCACAAUCUUUCUUUAUACCUCCACGUGAGCCUUACAGUUAUAUAGUUUUGAAAAUAGUUUUUCCGAAAUAGCUACUCACACUUUAGCCCACCUAAUGACGCCACAGUGCAUCAAUAACACAACACAAUAACAAAUCGCCCAACAAUUGCCUAUAUGCCACAACUUGCCAAAAAAUAAUAAUAUCAAUAUUUUCACAAUAAUAGCAUAUGGCUCAACCACAAUGUAUACAAGAAUGUCAAUAAUAAUAAUAAUGAAUGUGAAUUGCUCAACAAGGAAGAUAUCUCCACAAUUGACAACUUCGCCUCAAUGUGAUAAUGGCUAUCACAAUUUCAAUAUCAAUAACUCAACAAGAGGAUAAUUCACGAAAUAACGACUUCAAGUAAAAGUAAUUCAACAAUUAAGGAUGUAACAAGGCAAUAAGGAAAGCAAUAACUUCAACUAAAGCAUAAGAGCAAAGUAUCAAGUAAGAAGUAGAACAAGUGUUAACAAAGUCAAAUAAGGCAUGUAAGCAUAGACUAACACAAUUAAGAGUAGAUUGACAAUGAGAAUUAAAAUAUGAUAUGACAAUUUAAUUAAUGACAUGGAAAAAGUCUAAUUAAUCUAAACCGGUCAAAUACCACAUAUAACUCAUGUACCCACUCGUCACAUUGCGUACACGACUUUUACAUAAUACAAAUAGCACAAUCAAUCCAGAAUCCUAAGGGGUAGUUCCCCCACACAAAGUUAGGCAAGAUACUUACCUCAACUAGGCCAACUCAACCCUCAAAAAAUAGCUUUUCCCCUAAAAUUUGCCUCCACAUAGCUCAAAUCUAGCCAAAAUUGAUUUAAUAUCAUCAAAUAAUGCAAGAGAAAUACAAUAGAUAAAUUUAUUAUCUUUAUACUUUUUCCAAAAAGAUAACAAAAGUCAACUCCGGGCCCGCCUAGUCAAAACCUGGGUCCAAGGGUGGAUUCCGACUACCCAUAACCCCACGAAUCCAUAUAUAUGAUUAGUUUCAAAAUCCGAGCCCAACUCGACUCUCAAAACUGAAUUUCUCAUUUUUUCAAAAACUUGAUAAAAUUUCCCAAUUUUUCCUCUUUUAUUCACAUAAAUUUGAUGUUAAAUCUAAGAUAUAGUAUGACAUAUAGUUAAAAAUUGAUUAGAAUCACAUGCCCAAUAUUUGUAUAUGAAAAUCCCCUCUCUAAAUCACCUUCUACCGAGUCUAAGAUUCUAAAAUAUGAGAUGAGACUACAUCCUGACUUUUCUAACCUUUUGUUCAGUUGCAGUUGUCGCAAUUGCGAUAUGGGUUAGCAAUUGCGAACAAAUUCUCUAUAACGACUCAACCGGUCAUUUUGAGAAUUAGUGUAUUGUUCGGUGGCUUAAGGUCUCGAGUAGCUUUGUAUUAUGUAUUGUAACUUGCGUGUGUGGUCGGGUUUGAUUUUUGGAUGAUUCGGGAUUGAUUUGGAGGGAUGAUUCUUCUUUUAGAAUCCUAAUAAGUUUGAUCGGGAGUUGACUUCAACAUUAUCGGGUUUGUAAUGUUGUUCCGAGAGUUAGAAUAGGUUCAAUAUGUCAUUUGGAACUUAUAUGCAAAAUUUGGAUUCAUUUCGGCUUGGUUAGGCUUGAAUCAGGUACUUGGUUCGAAAUUUGAAGUUUAUGAACUUAAGAUAUAGAUCUUGAUCGACGAUUCGUGAUUUUGAUGUGGUUAUGUGUGAUUUGAGGCAUCGAGUAGGUCCGUAAUAUGAUCCAAAAAUGAAAGUCGUAGCCCUAUGUGUCUAAUUGUUAGAAAAUAAAACUGUUUAUCAUUUGGAGUUAUGUAAAAAAAAGAGUUAUAGCCAUUAUACAAAGAGGUUGUCUAGAAGAGUUGGGCAAGCUUGUCGGAAUUUGUCCAUCGCGAUCGCGGGAGUAUGGCCGCGAUUGCACAGGGUGAAAACUGAGCUAGAAUUGUUUUUGAAUCGCGAUCGCGAAGAAUGAAACCCCCCCCCCCCCCCCCCCGAAGUGCAUUAAAACAUCAAAUUUUGGGAUUUUGAGUGCAUUUUCUUCACUUUUUUGAGUUCUUGGAGCACAAUGCGAUUUUGGAGGAGAUAAACACCCAAAUCUUGAUGGUAAGUAAUUUUAUCUUUGUUUUGAUUAUAUAUUUUUUUCCAUGGAUUAGUACACCUAAAUUAAGGAUUUGAAGAGAAGAAAUUGGGGGGUUUUCUCUAAAUUUUACUACAAUGAAUAAUUCAGUUUUGAACAUCGAUUCGGAGUCAUAUUUAAGUGAAAUUAGUAUGGUUGGACUCAUAAUUGAAUGUGUUGUCAGAUUUUAUGAGUUUUAUCGGGUUCCGAGGUACAAGCAUGGGUUUGACCUUUUGGGUUGACUUUUUAGUUUUCAUUAAAGAACGAAACUUUUUUAUCCGAAAUUAUUUCCUAUGAUUUUUAUUUAUAAUAUCAAGUUAUUUUGGCUAGAUUUGAGCCGUCUGGAGGUUUGUUUCACAUGAGAAGUUUAUUUUAGAGUAUUGGUUUGGCUUCUUUGAGGUAAGCAUCUUGCCUAACUUUAUAUGGUAGAACUAUCCCUUAGGAUUUGAGUUGUUGUGCUAUUUGUGGCAAGUGAAAGUCGUGUAUGCAAGGUGACGAGUGCGUACUCGGGCUUAUAUGUGAAAAUUGACCAGUUUUGACUCUUAAGCUUCUUUCAUGUAUUUAUUUGGAAUUGUUAGCACAUGUUAUAUCUUUUAUUUGUCAUGUUUACUUUCACAUGCUUUAUUUGAAGUUGUUGUUAUAUGUCACAUCCUUUACUUGUCAAGUUUACUCUUAUAUGCUUUAUUUGAAGUUGUUGUUAUAUGUCACAUCCUUUACUUGUCAAGUUUACUCUUAUAUGCUUUAUUUGAAGUUGUUACCUCUUUUAUCAUUAUGUGACUUCUUUUAUUGUUGAGUUGCUCUUAAUUGAAAUUAUUGUUACAUGAUAUCCUUUCGUUGUCGGGUUAUUCUCAUGCAUAUAAAUAUAGUUUCUAGUUUGUGCCAUCUCUUUCAUUGUAGCCUAUUUCAUACAUUAGAAUCCGAAGUUUGCCAUUUCAUGGAAAUAACUUCAUUAUCGAGUGUAUCCUUAAGCAAUUAAUUGAAGCUGAAGUUAUUGAAAGUCAUUAAUCUAUUUUAAUUGACGUUGUGUUUAAAGGGGGUGUUGUUCAUUGUUGAGUUACUUUUCUUUUUAUUUUGUUGUUAUAGAGAUUCUAUACACAUUGUGUUUGAGCCGUAGACUAUUUUUUAUGGAAAUAUUGAUAUUGUUGAUUCUUUUAGAAAGGUUAUGGCCUAUGGGCACUUGUGGUACGAGUUGAUAUGUCGUGUUAUUGUAAUGUUAGCAAAUAUGAAUUGUUGUGUGGAUUGGUUGUUGUUAUGCGGGGCAUAAGGAUGGCAUCUCAUUGUUGUUGAUUGUACGAAGUGAUACAGGUGGCUAUUGUGUUAUUGUCUGGAGUCAAUAGCAUAUGCGGAUUUUAUUUAAUAGUUGCGCUUACGCAUUCAACCCCGAAAAGGUCGGAUUCGUGCAAAAAAGUAACAUCCAAGAUUUGUGAACCGUGGCAUGAACUAAUUUCUUCACUUCGAUUCCGCCCCUAAAGCUAGCUUCAUUCAAAGUCAAACGAUUCUUUGUUUAAGUUUAAUAAUAAAGUAAAGGAAAUCGGCUUGUUCUUCUAAGUGUGGCUAUUAUAUGGAAUGAUACGGGUUGCUAACGGAGUGAUACGGAUGGCUAAUAAUAUUGUUAGGGCGGAGUGAUAUGGGUGGCUAUCGGAGAGAUAAGAGUGACAAUGUCAGGGAUGAUGUGUGAUGGACUGGGAGCAUUAUGUUGAUGAUAUUCGUGUGAUGGUGUGAUUCUCCUUGUGUAUGUAAUACACCUUACGUGACUUGUUGUGUUGCUUCAAUGAGCUACUCGAUGUCUUUGAUAUUACUUGUUGACUUGGUCUGUAAUAGUACACUCGCACAAGCAUACAUCGUAGUAUACAACUUAUACUGGUUCAGGAGUAUAAAAAUUAACAUUUAUUGAUCAUGCCCAUGCAUUCUUGAAUUAUCUGCUUUCAUGUUGAUAUUGAUCCUGUGACCAUGCUGGACGGAUUGUGAUAUUGAGCAUAUGGCCAUGCCGGGUGGAUUGUAAUAUUACGCCUGUGACCAUGCCAGGCGAAUUGUGAUUGUGAGCCUGUGAUCAUACCGGGCGGAUUGGGAUAUUGGUACGUGAAUUGUCCAUGCGGUUGUGAUUAGACAUGUGGGCACAAGGUGCCGUGAGCAUAUGAUUUGUAGUUUGAGACUCGUGACUUAUGGUUAUGAGAUGAGGUAUCUCGGAGUAAUUCGUUGUGAGACCUGUGUUGAAUGACUUGCUUGUUGGUUGGCAUUUGUUUUCCUUAUAUGUUCUGCUGGUACUUUAACAGUUUUCUUAUUACAUUAAAUGUUUAAAUUAUAUGUUGAUUCUUGUUGCCAUUUACUGAUUCCUUCUUUCAUUAUUAGCUUUAUACUUUUAUACCGCCCAUGUUAUUUUGACUAGUAGGUGUCUUAACUUGUACCUCAUCACUACCCACCAAGAUUAGUCUUGAUACUUACUGGAUACCGACUGUGGUGUACUCAUGCUACACUUAUGCACAUUUUUGUGAAGAUCCAAGUAUUGAAUAUAUCGGACUCGGGCAGAGUUAGCUUAUUGAUCGCGAGGAUUCAAGGUAGAGUUGCUUGGUCGUUGCACUCCCUUGGAGUCAUUUCCUUUCAUUGUACUGUCGGCUUGUUAUUUGAACAUUAUUGUAUUUCGAUCUUCAAGAUCUUUCUAUGUAUUCAGCUAGAGGUCGUGACUCUGUAUUACCUAGUCUUGGGAGGUUGUAGUGAUUAUUGCCUUACUUCACAUUUAUUUCGG
rnacentral:lncRNA from 1 species